AACGAACGCUGGCGGCAGGCUUAACACAUGCAAGUCGAGCGCCCCGCCAGGGGAGCGGCAGACGGGUGAGUAACGCGUGGGAAUCUACCCAUCUCUACGGAAUAACGCAUGGAAACGUGUGCUAAUACCGUAUACGUCCUUAGGGAGAACGAUUUAUCGGAGAUGGAUGAGCCCGCGUUGGAUUAGCGAGUUGGUGGGGUAAAGGUCUACCAAGGCGACGAUCCAUAGCUGGUCUGAGAGGAUGAUCAGCCACACUGGGACUGAGACACGGCCCAGAAUCCUACGGGAGGCAGCAGUGGGGAAUAUUGGACAAUGGGCGCAAGCCUGAUCCAGCCAUGCCGCGUGAGUGAUGAAGGCCCUAGGGUUGUAAUGCUCUUUCACCGGUGAAGAUAAUGACGGUAACCGGAGAAGAAGCCCCGGCUAACUUCGUGCCAGCCGCCGCCGUAAGAC
rnacentral:rRNA from 1 species